GCCAUGAUCGUAUAGUGGUUAGUACUCUGCGUUGUGGCUGCAGCAACCUAGGUUCAAAUCUGACUAAUGGCA
rnacentral:tRNA from 1 species